GCUGGGGUAGUGAAGCGGUCAAACACUGCAGACUGUAAAUCUGCCGGCCUAGUGCCUUCGUAGGUUCGAAUCCUACCCCCAGCACCA
rnacentral:tRNA from 1 species